AAUCCCGUGGAGCUCGGAGCAGAAGCGAUUGCGGUCUCUGGGAGAUUUAGCAUCCUUCGCAAUCCUUGUAGAAUAUACAUAGGUUUCGUAAACGAUUCCAGAAUUAAAUACUUGCACUAUCAAAGCUAUUGAAUGGUGUGCGUUUUGCGUCCACCAGCCCAGAAUUAAAGGGCUUGCGAGAUAAAAAAAGUCCUUCCCCUUGGUUGAAAAGGGUCCGUCUCGAUUGGCGCUCGUUAGUCGAGCUGUACGAGCAGCAGCUCAUUCGUGCGUUUUUUUGUAUGCAAGUUAAGAAAAUAAGUUGAUCGGUGUAAAUGCUGCCAUUCGAGCCCGCACUGUAGGCGAGAAAUUAUUUGCGUCGCAAUGAGACCGCAGUCACUCGUUUAGGCCUCGUUUUCGCAAAUCCAAUAUGGAGGAAGCGCCACUGCGUCAGUGUAUUUUGCUGUUGUGAAGGGCCCCUUCGGAUCGUCUGGUCAUGGAUACGUGACGACGGCUCAUCUCAUCGACCACCAGCCACGAUGCGGGGAUCCGAAGAACGUUCGGCACGUUCCCGCGCCAAGGUGAAAGAGAAAGCUCGCAGUCCCGAGGAGAGCCGCCGCGUGAGCAGCAAGUCUCGGCACUCGUCCCAGAGCAGCAGUCGAAAGCACAAGAAAAGCCAUCGGUCGCACCGACGAAAGCAUGUAACGCGCGACUCGGAGCGAGCCGUCGUUGCCACCAAGCCGCUCGUCGAGUACGACGAUGUGAGUUCGGACUCCUCGCUGUUCUCGGAUGACGGCGGAGCGCCCGCCGAACACCUGUACCCGGCAUCUCCACUGCCGGUGUCUUCCUCAAGCCGGCACGGCGGUGCGGACCGGCAAUCUGAGCGGACCGACAGUGGCAGCAACAAGCGGCGGCACUCUUCGCGGCACAAGGCGAGCGAUACCAAAGAGAGCACGAGUUCCUCGCGCUCUUCGAGUCGGCGGAACCACAGCGAACGGCCACCGUCUCCUCCGCCUCCACCGCCGUCUUCGUCGUCGCGUUCGUCGCGGGACUACACGACGUCGAGCGGCUACUAUGACCGAGACGUGAUGAAGGACUACGCGAGUAGCCGAACCUAUAUGAGUGCUUACAGGGAAUCUUCGGGCGUGCUGGACCCGUACUAUGGUGUGUCGGACUCCCACGGCGACUGCUACGGCAGCCGCUCGAGCGGCAGCCGUAAACGGUCCCUGUCGCCGGACCAUCCGCGUGCCUACAAGAGCAGCGGUCGGAGCCCGGUGAGCUCGCCCAGUCCGCCGCCUAGCCGUUCGGCCAAGCGGCGGAAAUCUCCGACAUCCGACGCCCGCGAGAAGGACCGGCCAUCGCGGAACUAUUCGCCCAAUAAUUCCUCUAGUCUCUACUCGUCGUCGCGCAAGGCCUCCGCGUACUCGCGAAGUCGGAGCAGAAGCCCUGUCAGGUCCAGGCGUUCCCGAAGAUCCAGAAGCCGUUCCCGAAGCCCCCCUCCUCAGCGCCCUAGGGUCGGCCGAUCCCGGUCACCACCCUUGAGUCCUCCUGCUGCCUACCAGACGCAUCGACGGCGGGAGCGCAGCCCCAGCUACGAAACCAAGUUCGCCUCCACGAGCCUCGGUGCCGAGUUGCGCAAGCAUCGCAAAGGCCGCGAGCUUGAAAAGAGUCGUCACUCGGUCGGCAGCAGGGCAGCCCCGCCGCCGCCGCCGCCUCCCCCACCGCCGCCGCCACCUACUGCGCCAUCCAAUGGGCCUGCUUCUUGUGCAGACAUCCCACCACCUCCUCUUCCACCACCACCUCCCAGCGAUCCUACGCAUCCACCACCGCCACCACCUGAAGCCCCACCGCUUCCUCCUCUGCCCCCUCCCCCACCCGCUUCUGUGGUGCCCUCUGCGGAAGCUCCACCACCAGUGCCUCCCAAGGCACCCUCCAAGCCUUGCACGCCCUCUGAAGGCUCCCCGGAGCUGGUCUCGUCGCCGGAAGAGGCAACCGCAGCACCAUCCUCUGGUGGCAAUGGGGACACUAGUGCUCCACACAGCAACAAUGGGGUGUUGGAAGAGGAUGAUGAGGGCAGCCUGGGAAGUGGACGGUCAUCUGCCGAGCAGGUGUCCGCACAGCCAAGCCCUACGCAGCCUGCAACAGCACCGCCUCCCCAGCGCAAGAGUAUAAAGGAAUUGCCUAUGCCACCUGGCAUGAAGGUGGAGGACGUGAUGUCACCCGAAGUGGCUGACCGGGAAGAGGGAUCAUCACCUCAGCUGACUCAACAGCAACAGCAGCAGCAGAUGAAACACGAAUUCACCAUGGCCACCCAGAGGGCAUUGUCUGCAGCACCUGCUCCCGGAACCCAGCCACCUCAAGGGGCAGCUGCUUCCAUGCAGGUGUUUCGCAGGCCAAGGAUUCUGAACAAGCCUCCUUCUGAUGAUGAACGGUUUCCUAAUUGGGGCGAGCGCUGCGUGGAUGUUUUUGAUAUUGUGUGCCAGAUAGGAGAGGGCACCUAUGGACAAGUGUACAAAGCCAAAGAUAAGGACACCGGUGAACUGGUGGCCCUGAAGAAAGUGCGGCUAGAGAAUGAGAAGGAGGGCUUCCCAAUCACAGCUGUGCGAGAAAUCAAGAUCCUGCGUCAGCUCAACCACCCAAGCAUUGUCAACCUCAAAGAGAUCGUCACUGACAAACAGGAUGCCCUGGACUUUAAGAAGGACAAAGGGGCAUUUUACCUGGUGUUUGAGUACAUGGACCAUGACUUGAUGGGCUUGCUGGAAUCGGGGCUGGUGGACUUCAAUGAGCUUCACGUGGCCUCCUUCAUGCGUCAACUGCUGGACGGGCUUAGCUAUUGCCACCGAAGAAACUUCCUGCACCGGGACAUCAAAUGCUCAAACAUACUCAUGAACAACAGAGGCCAAAUCAAGCUGGCUGACUUUGGUCUGGCACGACUAUACAGUGCCGAAGACAAGGCACGGCCCUACACAAAUAAGGUUAUUACACUCUGGUACCGGCCGCCAGAACUGCUCUUGGGAGAAGAGCGAUACGGACCUGCCAUUGAUGUCUGGAGCUGCGGGUGUAUCCUGGGUGAGCUGUUCACGCGCAAGCCAGUCUUCCAGGCGAACCAGGAGAUGGCGCAGCUGGAGGCCAUCAGCAGGGUGUGUGGCACGCCCUGCCCAGCCGUGUGGCCACGGGUCAUCCAACUGCCCCACUGGGCCACCUUCCGGCCCAAGAAACAGCACCGGCGGCGGCUGCGCGAGGAGUUUUCCUUCCUGCCAGGUCCUGCUCUCGAUCUGCUGGACCAGAUGCUCGAGCUGGACCCCGAGCGUCGCAUCACGGCCGAGUCAGCCCUGCGCUCCCCCUGGCUUGCCCAAGUGCGGCCCGAGCAUAUGGCCCCACCUGACCUCCCACACUGGCAGGACUGCCACGAAAUGUGGUCCAAGCGUCGCAGGCGACAGCUUCGGCUAGAACAGGACAUGGCAGGCACGUCAUCAGGGCCCCUACCCUCCUCAGGCUUGCCCAUGAACUUUGGAGGAGGCAGCAAUAGUGUGCACUCAGCGCCAAGCACUCAGGACAUCUCUCGAGACGAUGGGCCCCACUUGGUGGACGGCCCCUUGUGCUCGAUGGUUGAUGCCUCCACAAGGCAGCUUCUUGAAAACCUGAACAUGCAGCUGCUGCUGGCAGCAGCUGCCAAGCAGGCCCAAAAGGUGCAGAUGGCCAGCCAUCAGAGCAGGCAGAUGCAGCAGCAGCAGCAAGUACCUCCGCCCCUUCAACAGCACCAAACGGCACCAUUGCCACACACCCAGCCAGCUGCACAGCAGCAGCAGCAGCCAUCCCCACAGUCUCUUGUGUCAUCCUCCAGGCCUCAAGCGGACGUGUCAAGGGUUGACCAGAUGGGUGGGGGCUUGGAGCAUCCCAAUGAGACAGGAGGGGGCCGCCUGGCACGGCCACUGCCGGCACCUGCGGUGUCGCCCCCACAGCUAUCGUCCCGCAGGCCACCACCAUCCCACCUUGUGGAGUCCCCCACACGUUCCAAGUGGAGGAGCGGCGAGUCGAGUCCCGCCUGCUGGCUCCUUGAGGCCACCUGUGCCACAGCACCCACUUCCACCUGCCUCUGACAUCCGUGGGCAGACCACCAGCCCUGGUGCCUACCUCUUCGAUCGUGGGCCUCCAGGUCCACCCCUCCACAUGGACGACACCCAUGGUGACCGUGCCCCUCCUGUGCUUCCUCGGCGGGUUGAGGCCUCCACCGUGCACCGUGGAAGGCCAAUGUCGCCUCCCAUGCCUGUGCUUGGCCGAGGGUCAGGAGAUGCCACUUCAUACCACCGGAGAGGACCACCCGACGACACUUCGCCACCCUUUGAAUCCGUGGGUCUGUCUGUCAUGAGCUCCACCGCUGCGCAACAACAGAGCUACACCACUUCAGGCGUCAAGGCUGCAUUGGCGCAGCUGCUGGAAGCGCAGGGCUUUCGCGUAAAGAAUCCCAGCAGCCACUCAGGUACUCCAGUAAAGGCAUCAAACAGCUGUGCUAGCUGAAAUGCUUGAUGCAGUGGCAUGGUACUUAACGUAUAUCAAGGAAGCAGUUCUUCCGAAGCAUUUACAUCUGUGAGCCCCAUCUCGGAAGAGAGUAGAGCAACAUGCAAUUAAAAAUGCUCUGCCCAUGGGUCUUCGACCAUGGAUGGCUUGACAUAACUGUGGGAACUGCUGCUGGAUCCGCGACUGGGUGAGGACUGGAACGGCGAUCCAGACCAGCUGGAUCCUCGGGAGCCUGAAGACUGCGACAUCAAGAGAAGAACCAGAGAAAUAAAUGGCAGGCAGCGGCAAAGUGCACAUGCAAUGCUCUGCCGCUUCACCGAGCCAGGCAACGGCGCUGCACACUACAUCGCGGAAGCAGCUGUACGCCGACGUGUGCACCUUUUGCUCCAUUCUCAUUGUCACCUUCCAACAAAACUUACUGAGAAUGCUGCCAAACACACGAAAAGGUGUUGCCUGACUGGCUGGAGGACAAGGUGCCACAGACAAGCACGCUGCGUGCACAGCUGCCCAGGCUGUCGGCCCUGAAGUGACUGCAGAGGGUGUCAUUAUACGUCAUUGGUGGCUUCCUGCAGGGAAAGAAAGUGCCCGCCAAUAUCCUUGAAGCUCGUGAGACAGUCUAUGAAAGGCUCGACACGUGUCUCGGACAGAGCGCAUGCACACCGUCUACUAAUCCUCCACGUCAAAAAGCAAGCGCUCGAACUUGGCAACAGGAGAGAUCAACCUAUGUGAACAGCAAUCGGCAAGGCUCCUAUUGUUGCCAUCCCAGCUACCGGUGAGAAAUGGCCACCUAUAUGCAGUAGGAUAUGCUUCCCCAUGCACCAAUUUCACUCACCUGAAAGGCAAAAUCUACAUGUUUACUACAUGUUUAGUGACGAGCAUGACAGAUUUCACAAAAUGCAUCAAGAGAGAAAGCAUGUGUGCCUGAUCACUGUGCUUGUCUCUUUUAAACAGCAGGACCAAAGCUGCAGAAUUACAUGCCUCAUGAAAAGCUCGCAUAAUGGCACAUAAAGCACCAAUGUAAGAUAGCUGAGAGCACAAUAUUUGCCGUCUGGCACACGCAAAGUACAUGGAAGCAGAAGCCGUCUUUCUUAACAUGGCGGCAAAGGCCUUGCGCAUCUUUUUCAGACAUGCGUCGUCAGCUAGCUGCUUGCGCUUGUCUGAGCAAAAAUCUGCUGAUCGCUCCGACAGUCCGUGGGCAGUCUGGAACUUAUGGUCCGUGAGAAAACGAACAUGCUUCUGACAACUCUCGGGCUAGUGGGUGGAGCUUCUGAAGCUGUCGGAGCAAAAUCGAAUGAAGGCACAGCAGUCCCAAGCAGUCCGGGACUGUCAGCAGCUGAUAAUCGAAGAGGCCCAGUAAUAAAUACAACUAGCUUUGCUGUCGCAGAAACCACUCGCAUACCAAGGUAAAGCUUGUGUACAUUGAAGCCACAGGUACAUGUGCCUGUGUAGUAUUGUUUAAAGUGUGAGGUGAUUCUUGUAUGACCUUUGUGUUAAGCACGUUUAUAUGGGGGAAUCCACUUCCCAGUAAAAAGUAAGUAAACUAAAAUUUAGAGAAGUGACCAGAACAGGAAGACAGGUUAUUAUUAAUGCAAGGUCUUUAUUUGGGCAUAUUCAAGCCUGUUAGGAGGGGUAGAACUCGGCAGCAAAUAUUGUGCCAAGUGCAAUCCUAACUAUGUGGUUAAUGAUCAGAUUCCUACUUUAGGACAUCAAUGAGCACUUUCAAACAACCAGUAGUCAUCAAUAGAGACCGGAUUUUAGGCAAAUGCCUUUUUUGUUCCUUGCACUCCUAUCACCCCACUUUGAUAUAUGAGCAUGAAUUAGAGGAUAAGGAGGGCCUUUAUAGUGUUUUUAUAGUGCCUAUAAAUGCCUAUUUUGGCGUUUGUGCCUAAAUGCCUAUAAACGCCUAUAAAUGCCUAUUUUAAAUAUCGGCGCCUAUAUGAACACGAUUUAGCCUCAAAUUUCGCUUUUGAGUGCAGUUAGAGAUCGUUAUUCCUGUUACCGGGAAACAUUGUUCGGAACUCUAUGGGGUUCAACCUAGUCCUCUAGUUCAACCAACUCCCGGAAAACAACCGCUAGCAGCAGUGAAAUGGGACGCGCUGGCCAGUAUAUGCCGCCGCGCUGACAUAGCGUGAGCGGUUGGCGAAUGCGAAACCGCGGAGGGCCGUCAGGGGAAAGGAGAGUGAAGAGCAAACUAAGAAAGAAAAAUGUGAUGUGCAUUGUUUUGUUUGUAAUUUAUUUUGUAAGGUGUUCACCGCCAUUGAGCUUUCCUUCUCAGUGUACAAGAUGCCAAGUGACAAGAGGCACAAUUUUGAAUCCAAAAAUCUGGAGAUGGUGAUAGUUUGCUAUUGUUUCCACAAUCUUCACAGUGAUUCUUAAACUACGUUCCGUGUGCUUUCCAAAUAGAUUUCUUCAAACAUGUGCACUUCAAAUGGGCGCAAGUGUAUUUGGCAGUGUUGGGACGUGUUGCGUGUACAAUUCGGAUAAUGUCAUUGUAUAUGAGAAAAUUGCCAGAGACCUAAGAGUCCUACUGUAAGAACAUGUUAAUUUCUUAAUAAAUUGUAGUCUCUUUUGCAUUUAUAAUUUGUCUGUUUUUGGUGUAUCUUAAUUUAAUUGCGUAAGGCAGACAUAAAGUAGCACUUUUUUUAACCAGUAGUCGCAGCUUUCAAGUAUUCUUUUUCAUGCCUGUUUUACUAAAUGAGACGCUCGAGUACAGUGGCCAUUGAACAUGAAUAUGAGCAGUGUGCUUGUUGAAUUAAGCCAAUUGAUCGUCAUUAGUCCAGUAGUUUUAUGGGACAAUUGCACGGCUAUGUUCAACUGUUGGCGCAUUUGUGCCAUCAUAAACAAUAACAUUUCUUGUUUUCCUUUCACAGAUACAGGUCGCGCACGUCUUCGUUUGAAAUUAUACGCAUUUAUGAAAAAAUUUAUUGUGCCUAUAUUUACGACAUUGGCCUAAAACAAAACGCCUGCGUAUUUUUGGCGCCUAAAACGCGCUUUUUUACUGCCUAAAGAUCCGGCCUCUAGUCAUCAAUACCACUCAGCAAUGUGCUAUGUGCGUCAUUUUAUAUGAUAACGACAGGCUGACCAUGCUAGCAACACUUGUAAUAUAAUCUGAUAUUGUGCAGGCAUCUUGCACAUAAGCAAACUGCGAUAAUACUCCAAAAACAAAAAGAUAAGAAUUAUGACAAAGCAUCCAUGACGAUAUAUUCAUGCUGAUAAUGCUCAAAUAAGCAGUUAACACUCACGCUUGCUUUCGUACAAAGGAUGUACUUAUUCGAAUAUAAAGCAAGGUUUUUUUCUCAGAAUUCUUAGCCUAGUAGUCGCCCCCUGCCUUAUAUGUGAAUUUUGCUUCACGCACGGCAGUGCAAAUUACGCCUUGCAGUGUGGCUUUACGGCAGCGUGCACCACAAUGUCGGGAAGCCACACCUAAAGGCUAAAUUCGCAUACUAACUCGCAUGCCAUGUGUUAAAGCUCCCUUUCCCCCUAUUUCACAGUCUCCAUUUUGCAUUUUGGCUAUGUUAUUAAUUCAGUAUUUCGGGCAAUCCCCGCUGAGUCUGAAUAAUUUGUCGGUGACCCUAUACUGCUGUAUAUUAGUGUGCACACUUAAAGGGCCCCUAAAUAACCUCUUACAUUUUUUUGACACAUUUCAAAUAAACACUCGCAUCGUGUAUAAAAUGCAUUGACAAUUAUCUUUGGAGAACGUGGCAGAGCUACGCAGUGGGAAGACACUACAUAUCCAAAAAGCAAUCCUGCACUCCUAUUCUUGCCUUUUCGGUGCCUCUCUUCACAUUGUGAUGUUAACAGGGUACUCCAGGGGACGCCGACGGGGUUUGGUUGACCAACAAGAAUGUACGACUUUCGAAUGUACGUUCAAAAAAGAAAGAAAAAAGAAACAUAAUGCAAGUCCUUUCUUGCACCUAUGCGAUGCUUCAGCUUUUGUUUUUCUCGGAGGUGCCGAUGAUGUACACCCUGCAAACGGCAAUAGCAAGUCUCUCUGGAACACGGCGGUACGGUAUCGUGUUGCAGGUCUAGCAAAGUGCUGGCGAGUAUUGGGGCCUCCUCCGUCCAUUUGCUUGUACUUCCUCUUUUCUCUUUGUGCUGUGGGUUGUCGGGCCUCUAACAACGUAUUUAAAACAAAACAGGCAGUGAUCACAUAUUAUCCACAACGCAGGGUCCAACACAGCACUGCCUUACAGAAGCACGGGGCACAGGCCAGCAUGGCAGCAACAGCACAUACCUGAAAAGUGUGGAGCCGUCGUAACCGGAUGUGGACGGUGUUUUGAAACGAGGGGGGGGGGGGGGGGGAAUAAGCGCGAGUGUGGCGUUUGUAACGAUAUAGUGUCCAUGUGCCAUGGUGAGGAGAGACCGCUCAAGGGGAGAGACACAAAGGAGAGGGAGAAACGAGCGGCAGUGGAAUUCUUGAUCAUCGAACGCCUGUAACUGUGCUUCGAUGGUAUCAUUUUCAGACGUUCUUGCGGCUGCAUGCUUGCUUGGAAUCUUACUUAACUGCCACUGUACAAUAAAUUUUCGACCUUUGGGUUGUUUAGGGGCCCUUUGUUUUUUGUUUUUCUUGAGUUCCCUAACUGGCACCCUUGCCUUAUAAUCAUUACCACCUUAUAAUCAAAUAAAUACGGUAUCCUAAUGUCAUAGCUGUCCUUAAUGUGUACGUUAGGUACAACUGUGAUACAAGGUGAGCCUGUGGUCAGUUUGGCAUCUUACAGUUGCAUUGCCAUACACAAUGUAAAGAGAAGCCUCAGCUUUAGGUAAGGUCUGGCAGCAUAAGGUGCUGUUAGCUUGUAGCAUCUGUAUCUGAGAAACAGCUGGACUAAAAUACAUUUUAUUGACAAAAUGUAGCCCUAGCCAACAAAUUCAUCUGCAUUAAAAUAAGAUCGGUGUGCAAAAUGAUUGUGCGAGCAAUCUGCAAUUUCUAGCAAUUGAAGCAGGUGGCACCAACAGUAGCAUUUGGCAGUAGUACCUUUUUACAGUUCUGAAUUUUUAUUUUGGUUUCACUCCCUGCGAAAACCAGCAUUAGCAUUGUGAACUGAUUGGAUAUGUUGAUGCACUGGCAUUUGCUGACAGCAUUAUAGACAUGCAGUGGCAAGCCACUUCAAUGAAGAAGGGUACAUCAUUAGAAAGAUGUAAGUGGGGAGCGGAAAGCAGGAUGCUGAGGCGUGAAUGUGCAAACUGACAAUGAAUGACUAAAUCUAAACAGUAGUAUUGUGGAUAUUGCAGCAAAUGCUCAAGAGGAUUGGCUACGGGAUGAGAUUAGCCGAGCAAGCUGUAUCAACAAGAAGGUCACGAUGAUUGACUGUUGUGGUGCGACGAAAUGAAGUCAAUCUAAGAAGACGUGACAAGAAAAUGCUGAGAAAGCUUUCAACACCAAUGAGCUGGCAAAGGAGUGGGUGACCAAUAUAGUGAAGGGGGAAAAAAAAAAAUCUGGAAGGACUCCAUGCAGCAACUGUUCCCUGUAUGCAGGCGUGCGCAGGAUGGGAAGAUACAUUACAAAUGUGUUGUCAGUAAAAAUUGUCUGAAAAAGCUUUUGUGCUAUAAGCUACCAGUAAUUAAGAAUUAACAAAUGUGUUGACUAAGCAUAUACAGGAAGGCAUAGAGAUUACUGUGGUGCGGUGUUUCUGUACAUUGGAGCACUGUGCCUUUAGAUCUUCACACGGUACAUACACGGUUAUGUAUGAUCGAGAUAGGCGGUCAAACAGCUUUUGACUGUGCGACUUUGUAAUCAAUGAUAUGUGCACAGAUUGGGCUCUUAUUUUUUGUGAGGCACAUUUUCUUUGAACAGAGUUCCCACUGUAAACCAACUCUCAUUCACGAAUGUUAUUUAUAACUUUCGUUCUUUCUGCAUGCCAGACAUGUUAUUCUCUUUACCUACCUCAAGAAAAAAACUGGUUUCUAGGGCUAUUGACGUCGGAAGAUAUGAUCACAAUUAUGCCAAAAUCUAAAAGGCCAAAGACUCUCCCGUCUUUGUCACUCUCAUGAUGCACUUACGACUGCACGUCAGUUGGCAAUCUUCAUUCCAGAUGUUCCAAGGAGAAAAGGCAGUUUCUUCCACAUUUGUCUGCUUGUUUCAUACUGUAAGCAGUAGCCCUAGUAAAGUGUUGGUGCUUUUUUUUUAUCUCGUACAUAAUGACUGUGAUAAAUGGUAUGACUGUGAUUGCCAAGCCCAUGUUCUCUUCUUAUGUCUAAGCUUGGCAUGUGUACAAUUUACAUGAAGCUUUCAGUGCAAAUAUGUAGGCUGGUUGCUUUACAAACCACUUUGGCCUCUCUGAUUGUGUGGCAGCUUUUUAUGCAAGCUGGCGAUUUCAUCUUUGAUUGUUGCUAUGUGUAUCACGCGCAUUUAAACGACCAACAUCCUCCAGCGGUUGUUGCCGUUUUCACAUUGUAUGUGAUGUAGGUGACUGGAACCACGCAUUGGUCAAUAUGUAGUUAGCUUUUUUUGUGCCUAUUGUUCAUGUAUACCUUUCUCUACGCAUUGUUACAGUAAAAACUUUGAUAUUUUCAAGUGCUUUUGGUUACUGUGUUGCCACAAAACUUUUGCAUUCAAGACAUCACACAAGCUGUAUGCUAGAAAAGGAAGUAUACAUGCCUGCUCACCUGCAAAAUGGAAGUGUGAAGUUGACUUAGAUUGAAGUCAGCAAACAAUAGUAUGAAAGAAAAGUGAGAUUGCAAAUUGUGAUGUCUGAUUGCUUGUGCUGUGUCAGGAAAAUGACACAACAAGGCUCAGCUUUGCAACCCAUGAGCUUAGGUUUACAAGCAUUUUGUUAAUUUUGAUUCUUUGAAUGGUGUGCUAUAAACUGUGUAAGGGUGUAUAGUAGAACUUCAUUGAUGUGUUUUAUAGGCAAGCACUGAAAAAGAAUGCAUGAUCCAGGAAAAUGUAGUGUCUGAUGAGCCAAAAAGCAAUUGAAAACAUGCUAAAUAAAGCUCUCUAUCACUGCCUGAAGGCUUAACUGAACAUUAAACACAUUCUUUUGUGUAGUUGAAGCCUUGAAUGGCACUAAACGAAGCUUGUGAUUUUCAUCUGUUGGUUGGGUCGAAUGUUCAAUAAAACAGGUUUUUUUCGAGCA